GUGAACCAGUACCGUGAGGGAAAGGCGAAAAGAACCCCGGCGAGGGGAGUGAAAAAGAACCUGAAACCGUGUACGUACAAGCAGUGGGAGCACAGGUUUACCUGUGUGACUGCGUACCUUUUGUAUAAUGGGUCAGCGACUUAUAUUCUGUAGCAAGGUUAACCGAAUAGGGGAGCCGGAGGGAAACCGAGUCUUAAUUGGGCGUUAAGUUGCAGGGUAUAGACCCGAAACCCGGUGAUCUAGCCAUGGGCAGGUUGAAGGUUGGGUAACACUAACUGGAGGACCGAACCGACUAAUGUUGAAAAAUUAGCGGAUGACCUGUGGCUGGGGGUGAAAGGCCAAUCAAACCGGGAGAUAGCUGGUUCUCCCCGAAAGCUAUUUAGGUAGCGCCUCGUGAAUUCAUCUCCGGGGGUAGAGCACUGUUUCGGCUAGGGGGCCAUCCCGGCUUACCAACCCGAUGCAAACUGCGAAUACCGGAGAAUGUUAUCACGGGAGACACACGGCGGGUGCUAACGUCCGUCGUGAAGAGGGAAACAACCCAGACCGCCAGCUAAGGUCCCAAAGUCAUGGUUAAGUGGGAAACGAUGUGGGAAGGCCCAGACAGCCAGGAUGUUGGCUUAGAAGCAGCCAUCAUUUAAAGAAAGCGUAAUAGCUCACUGGUCGAGUCGGCCUGCGCGGAAGAUGUAACGGGGCUAAACCAUGCACCGAAGCUGCGGCAGCGACGCUGAUGCGUUGUUGGGUAGGGGAGCGUUCUGUAAGCCUGCGAAGGUGGCCUGUGAGGGUUGCUGGAGGUAUCAGAAGUGCGAAUGCUGACAUAAGUAACGAUAAAGCGGGUGAAAAGCCCGCUCGCCGGAAGACCAAGGGUUCCUGUCCAACGUUAAUCGGGGCAGGGUGAGUCGACCCCUAAGGCGAGGCCGAAAGGCGUAGUCGAUGGGAAACGGGUUAAUAUUCCCGUACUUGGUGUUACUGCGAAGGGGGGACGGAGAAGGCUAUGUUGGCCGGGCGACGGUUGUCCCGGUUUAAGCGUGUAGGUGUGUGUUCCAGGUAAAUCCGGUUCACUUUAACACUGAGGCGUGAUGACGAGGCACUACGGUGCUGAAGCAACAAAUGCCCUGCUUCCAGGAAAAGCCUCUAAGCAUCAGGUAACAUCAAAUCGUACCCCAAACCGACACAGGUGGUCAGGUAGAGAAUACCAAGGCGCUUGAGAGAACUCGGGUGAAGGAACUAGGCAAAAUGGUGCCGUAACUUCGGGAGAAGGCACGCUGACACGUAGGUGAAGUGAUUUACUCAUGGAGCUGAAGUCAGUCGAAGAUACCAGCUGGCUGCAACUGUUUAUUAAAAACACAGCACUGUGCAAACACGAAAGUGGACGUAUACGGUGUGACGCCUGCCCGGUGCCGGAAGGUUAAUUGAUGGGGUCAGCGCAAGCGAAGCUCCUGAUCGAAGCCCCGGUAAACGGCGGCCGUAACUAUAACGGUCCUAAGGUAGCGAAAUUCCUUGUCGGGUAAGUUCCGACCUGCACGAAUGGCGUAAUGAUGGCCAGGCUGUCUCCACCCGAGACUCAGUGAAAUUGAACUCGCUGUGAAGAUGCAGUGUACCCGCGGCAAGACGGAAAGACCCCGUGAACCUUUACUAUAGCUUGACACUGAACAUUGAGCCUUGAUGUGUAGGAUAGGUGGGAGGCUUUGAAGUGUGGACGCCAGUCUGCAUGGAGCCGACCUUGAAAUACCACCCUUUAAUGUUUGAUGUUCUAACGUGGACCCGUGAUCCGGGUUGCGGACAGUGUCUGGUGGGUAGUUUGACUGGGGCGGUCUCCUCCUAAAGAGUAACGGAGGAGCACGAAGGUUGGCUAAUCCUGGUCGGACAUCAGGAGGUUAGUGCAAUGGCAUAAGCCAGCUUGACUGCGAGCGUGACGGCGCGAGCAGGUGCGAAAGCAGGUCAUAGUGAUCCGGUGGUUCUGAAUGGAAGGGCCAUCGCUCAACGGAUAAAAGGUACUCCGGGGAUAACAGGCUGAUACCGCCCAAGAGUUCAUAUCGACGGCGGUGUUUGGCACCUCGAUGUCGGCUCAUCACAUCCUGGGGCUGAAGUAGGUCCCAAGGGUAUGGCUGUUCGCCAUUUAAAGUGGUACGCGAGCUGGGUUUAGAACGUCGUGAGACAGUUCGGUCCCUAUCUGCCGUGGGCGCUGGAGAACUGAGGGGGGCUGCUCCUAGUACGAGAGGACCGGAGUGGACGCAUCACUGGUGUUCGGGUUGUCAUGCCAAUGGCACUGCCCGGUAGCUAAAUGCGGAAGAGAUAAGUGCUGAAAGCAUCUAAGCACGAAACUUGCCCCGAGAUGAGUUCUCCCUGAGACUUUAGGUCUCCUGAAGGAACGUUGAAGACGACGACGUUGAUAGGCCGGGUGUGUAAGCGCAGCGAUGCGUUGAGCUAACCGGUACUAAUGAACCGUGAGGCUUAACCUU
rnacentral:rRNA from 1 species